CUCUUUUAUUCUAGAGAUUCAGAGACAAAGAUUUUGAAGUACAAAAUACAUUUUGUAGAUUUAUUACAUCUCAAAGGUGAUCACCAUGACAUCCCGCCCGCUUCCAUGAUGAUGGACGCCGCCCAGUCACCUGACCAAUCUAACGCCAGCCCCGCCCCCCGGGUGUCGGAGCCGUUACAGGAACAGUCGGACACGCUGUGGAGGAAGGAGGUCCUGGACCUGCUCACACAGCUGGUCCUGGUCCAGAAGGAGAUGGCCCAGCAUCAGGUUCAGGUGGUGCAGCUGCUCAACAUGCUGGGAACUCAGGGCUCUCAGCAGAUCCUGGAUCUGCAGAACAUGGCUCGUCACCAGAGUCUGCUGGUUGAGAACCAUCAAGCUUUACUUCUGCAGACGUCUCGCAUCUCCACACAGCUGCAGGAGAUCAACAGGAAACCUGCCUCCUGCCAAUGAGAUCCUCUGGUUAUUUACUUGCAAGCAAUGGGAUCUUCUGGUGCUCAACUGGCAGGCAAUGGGAUUGUCUAAUUCUUCACAGAUCCUAUGCACUCUAAUCAUUACUAAUGAUUAACAGUGUGAUGAUAGAUAUAAACUUUAACCAAACAUUUAUUAAAAAAAAUUACAACAUUUUAGAAUCAAAUAAUUGAUUUCUAUGUUUCAUUAAAUAACCUUAAAAGUGAACUGCUGCUUUCUUUUCACCUGAAGCAAUCAGCUUCUUUUGUUAUAAUGUGUUGUAUGUUCUGAUGUUUCUAUUAAUAAAUUACAUCUUGUUUGAUUAUCUUUCUGGUGGUUGCGUUUCUGUGUACUGCAGUACAUAAAGUUGUGUACUGGUUCUCUGAGACCUUCGAGCCUCUUGUGGUACUGUUUGGUGUUACUCAGUUUGCUGUUUGAGUGUGCUAGGAGGACAAAGAAGAGAUGAUGCUAUGCAGGUGACACAAGGUAAUUUGAUAAGAUGUUGAUUUGAAAAGCUCAAAAGGCUAACUCUUAGGUAUGAAGGUAAACAUCCUCCCAUCUGUUCAUGGGUGGUGCUCAGGUGUGCAGCUGGUAAUUGUAACCACACCCACCAUCACAGGUUUUGUGAUCAGUGCUGCAGAGAGAGACUGAUUUACUGUCUGUUUGUUUCAG
ensembl:lncRNA